AUUGAACGCUGGCGGCAUGCCUUACACAUGCAAGUCGAACGGUAACAGGUCUUCGGAUGCUGACGAGUGGCGCACGGGUGAGUAAUACAUCGGAACGUGCCCGAUCGUGGGGGAUAACGAGGCGAAAGCUUUGCUAAUACCGCAUACGAUCUACGGAUGAAAGCGGGGGAUCUUCGGACCUCGCGCGGACGGAGCGGCCGAUGGCAGAUUAGGUAGUUGGUGGGAUAAAAGCUUACCAAGCCGACGAUCUGUAGCUGGUCUGAGAGGAUGAUCAGCUACACUGGGACUGAGACACGGCCCAGACUCCUACGGGAGGCAGCAGUGGGGAAUUUUGGACAAUGGGCGAAAGCCUGAUCCAGCCAUGCCGCGUGCAGGAUGAAGGCCUUUGGGUUGUAAACUGCUUUUGUACGGAACGAAAAGCCUCUUUCUAAUAAAGAGGGGUCAUGACGGUACCGUAAGAAUAAGCACCGGCUAACUACGUG
rnacentral:rRNA from 1 species